AGUUCGGGCCGCACGCGCGCUACACUGACAGAGCCAGCGAGUCUACCACCUUUGCCGGAAGGCAUGGGUAAUCUUGUGAAACUCUGUCGUGAUGGGGAUAGAGCAUUGCAAUUAUUGCUCUUCAACGAGGAAUACCUAGUAAGCGUGAUUCAUCAGAUCGCGUUGAUUACGUCCCUGCCCUUUGUACACACCGCCCGUCGCUACUACCGAUUGAAUGGCUUAGUGAGGCCUCCGGACCGGCUAUUGGGAGCUCGCGAGAGCACCCGACUGCUGGGAAGUUGUACGAACUUGGUCAUUUAGAGGAAGUAAAAGUCGUAACAAGGUUUCCGUAGGUGAACCUGCGGAAGGAUCAUUAGUGAAUAUAGGAUGUCCAACUUAACUUGGAGUCCGAACUCUCACUUUCUAACCCUGUGCAUUUGUUUGGGAUAGUAGCCUCUCGGGGUGAACUCCUAUUCACUUAUAAACACAAAGUCUAUGAAUGUAUUUAAUUUAUAACAAAAUAAAACUUUCAACAACGGAUCUCUUGGCUCUCGCAUCGAUGAAGAACGCAGCGAAAUGCGAUAAGUAAUGUGAAUUGCAGAAUUCAGUGAAUCAUCGAAUCUUUGAACGCACCUUGCGCUCCAUGGUAUUCCGUGGAGCAUGCCUGUUUGAGUGUCAUGAAUACUUCAACCCUCCUCUUUUCUAGUGAAAGAAAAAGUGCUUGGUUUCUGAGCGUUUUGCUGGCCUCCGGUCGAGCUCGCUCGUAAUGCAUUAACAUCCGCAAUCGAACUUCGGAAUGACUUGGCGUAAUAGACUAUUCCCUGAAGAAUUCUAAUCUUCGGAUUAAAACCCGGUUAGGGUUAAAGGAAGCUUCUAAUCCCAAUGGCUAUAUUUUAAAAUAAAACUCAAAUCAGGUAGGACUACCCCCUGAACUUAACCUAUCAUUA
rnacentral:rRNA from 1 species